rnacentral:rRNA from 1 species
UACGGAGGGUGCGAGCGUUGUUCGGAAUCACUGGGCGUAAAGCGCGUGUAGGCGGCUCGAUAAGUCUGGUGUGAAAGCCCGGGGCUCACCCCCGGAAGUGCACUGGAUACUGUUGAGCUCGAGUUCCGGAGAGGAAAGUGGAAUUCCUGGUGUAGCGGUGAAAUGCGUAGAUAUCAGGAGGAACACCGGUGGCGAAGGCGGCUUUCUGGACGGUAACUGACGCUGAGACGCGAAAGCGUGGGGAGCAAACAGG